GUAGCUGUUUAGAACAGUUUCAAACACUCCAUUAUCGUUCAAUGUUUGAUUAUCAUUUACAGUAUAUUUGCAAAUACGGUGUGUGCGUGCGCGCGUGUGUGUAUGUGUGUAUGCGUCUUUGAAGGUGUUUUACCUGAAUUGUUGUCUGAGGACUAAAAAGUCAGUCACCCUCAGUAGCUCUUUGUAAGAACAUAUUCACUGUUCACUGCUCAUUCAUGCUGGUAUAAUGACUUUGACAUGCUCUGACUGAGUUUAUUUUACUUGCACAACUUCCAGCUGGCGGUAACAGUUCAGUCCAUUUACCAAACAGCUUUGACUAUCAGCUUUUCUAUGUUGUGAGCUUUCUAUGUUUCUGUGCGUGUUCAGUUUGCUUUCUGUUGCAACCAAAGACAACCACAUUCAGUAAUUAACCAUAGAAGCUCUCUAUGUACAAACAUGAGGAACACACCCUCUCCACCCCCAAACUGUAACCCCUCUAACUGUAACCUCUGACCCUUCCUCCCUACCCACCCUUUACCCUGCCCCUUCAUCCUUAUCCAACAGUAACCCCUGCCCCUUAACCCUGCCCCUUCCUCCCUAUCCUACAGUAACCCCUGCCCCUUAACCCUGCCCCUUCCUCCCUACCCAACAGUAACCUCUGACCCUAAACCUUCCUGCCUACCCCACUGUAACUCUUAGUAAACUUGCUACUGUAGAUGGACUCUAUUUAGCUCCUACUGCCAGAGCUAACGGCUGUUCUCCCAUGGGAAAUAUGGACGAGACUGUAGUAAAUGUAUUAGCAGGGCUGCUCAUUCCUAGUCCUUGAGGGAGGCAGCGUAGGCAGCCUUUAGAUCCAUCACAAAACUACCACACUGCAUUCAGCUAACCAAGGUCUUCAUGAUGGGUUAGUUUAACCAGUCAAGGUAUAGUUGGGCUGUAACAUAAACCUGCACAAACUGUGAUCCAGCAGGACUGGUGUUUACUGCCUGCUACGGACGGAACACCAGGACUCCCACAGAUGUCACACACUCACAGAUAAAUCUACAAAGCAGUGUCUGAUGGGAAGUAUGCUCAGUUUGUCUCUGGCAUUGUGAACUGUUAACUUGUGUGUGAGUAUCCGUUUGGUGAAGAGUGACUGCUUUAUGUUGAAAUACUUAACUUAUUUAUAAAGGUAGUGUCUGGUAGAGGAAGGUGCGC
ensembl:lncRNA